GGGCGGCAGGGUAGCCUAGUGGUUAGAGUGUAGGGGCGGCAGGGUAGCCUAGUGGUUAGAGUGGAGGGGUGGCAGGGUAGCCUAGUGGUUAGAGUGUAGGGGCGGCAGGUAGCCUAGUGGUUAGAGUGUAGGGGCGGCAGGUAGUCUAGUGGUUAGAGUUUGGAGGCGGCAGGUAGCCCAGUGGUUAGAGUGUAGGGGCGGCAGGGUAGCCUAGUGGUUAGAGUGUAGGGGCAGCAGGGUAGCCUAGUGGUUAGAGUGGAGGGGUGGCAGGGUAGCCUAGUGGUUAGAGUGUAGGGGCGGCAGGUAGCCUAGUGGUUAGAGUGUAGGGGCGGCAGGUAGCCCAGUGGUUAGAGUGUAGGGGCGGCAGGGUAGCCUAGUGGUUAGAGUGUAGGGGCAGCAGGGUAGCCUAGUGGUUAGAGUGUAGGGGCGGCAGGGUAGCCUAGUGGUUAGAGUGUAGAGGGGCAGGGUAGCCUAGUGGUUAGAGUGUAGAGGAGGCAGGGUAGCCUAGUGGUUAGAGUGUAGGGCGGCAGGGUAGCCUAGUGGUUAGAGUGUAGGGGCGGCAGGGUAGCCUAGUGGUUAGAGUGUAGAGGGGGCAGGGUAGCCUAGUGGUUAGAGUGUAGAGGGGGCAGGGUAGCCUAGUGGUUAGAGUGUAGGGGCGGCAGGUAGCCUAGUGGUUAGAGUGUAGGGGCGGCAGGGUAGCCUAGUGGUUAGAGUGUAGAGGAGGCAGGGUAGCCUAGUGGUUAGAGUGUAGGGCGGCAG
ensembl:lncRNA